rnacentral:rRNA from 1 species
GACGAACGCUGGCGGCAUGCCUAAUACAUGCAAGUCGAGCGAACAGAUGAAGUGCUUGCACUUCUGACGUUAGCGGCGAACGGGUGAGUAACACGUAAGGAAUCUACCUAUAAGCGGGGGAUAACAUUCGGAAACGGGUGCUAAUACCGCAUAAAAUCUUCUUCCGCAUGGAAGAAGAUUGAAAGACGGCUCUGCUGUCACUUAUAGAUGACCUUGCGGUGCAUUAGUUAGUUGGUGGGGUAACGGCCUACCAAGACGAUGAUGCAUAGCCGAACUGAGAGGGUAAUCGGCCACAUUGGGACUGAGACACGGCCCAAACUCCUACGGGAGGCAGCAGUAGGGAAUCUUCCGCAAUGGGCGAAAGCCUGACGGAGCAAUGCCGCGUGAGUGAAGAAGGCCUUCGGGUCGUAAAACUCUGUUAUAAGAGAAGAACAAAUUGUAGAGUAACUGCUACAGUCUUGACGGUAUCUUAUCAGAAAGCCACGGCUAACUACGUGCCAGCCGCCGCGGUAA